AGGAAGCAGCAUAGCCCCUAAGCCGUCGGUGUGUGGUAUAUGGGUGAGAACGUUUGUGGGAAGAGCUAUAGUAGUAGCAGGUGGAGGUAUAGUAACAGUUGGGGUAGCAGCAGCAGCUGAACUCAUCACAGAAAUUACAUAUAACAACGCAUCACCUCAGGCACUUGCAGCAGUACCAACAAUAGCAGCAACUACAGCAGUGAUAGUAGUAGCACGGUAACAGCACCAACUGCAGCAGUAAAAAAGAAGAAAACUGCAGCAACUGCCGUGAUAUCAAAAGCAAGAACACAGUAAAACUAGAGGCUGCAGCAGCAACACAGAACAGCACCAACUGCAGCAAUAGCAGUACAGUAACAAUUUAAGCAGCAGUAGCAACACGAUGACAGCAACUGCUGCAGUAACAACUACACCAUCUGCAGCAGCAGAAACACGGUUACAGCAGCACUAACUACAACAGCAGGAUUACAGUAAUAGCAACAGUAGCAGCAACAAACUGAAUCAGAAGCAAAUAUUGGUUGUGUGUUAUGUGCGAGAAAAAAGUACCAGUAAUAUACGAGGAUAUUGAUGAUUAAGCCAACUUUGCUUAUAUCCUCUCGAAAAUGGGGGCGUUGUAGGUUAGAGGAAUUCGAAACUGAUAUAAUAGUGUGCAGUUUUGAAGGGGAAUAAAGAAUAGAUAGUAAUUGUGGUAGAUAGAUAGAUAAGUGAGGAUGUAAGGAAUGAGACAAGUAAAGAAAUACGGUGUGAGGGAGUAUUUAUAGCAAGAUAGAGAGGAAGGUAUGGAAUAGAAAGAGUAACGGAUAGGCCAGAGAGAAGAUAUAGAAAGUAGGAAAUAGACGAAGAAAAAACGAUUACUGGAUUGACAGACAGAAGGAUAUACUAUGUCAUAAAAAGAGACUGAGAGAGAAAAAAAGGUGGGCUGGACAAGAAACUGAUAAGGGGUAAGAAAUGGAAGAGGUGAGAGUGAGAGAGACUGAAGGCAGUCAAAGAAAGACUAAGGAAUGAAAAAUUUAACAGAAUGAGGUGGGGGCAAACAGAGAAAGGGAGAUAUAAUAAUAAAGGGAAGGGGAUUUGUAAAGAAAUAAGGGUGGGAGGAAAGGGAGAGAGUGAGAAAAAGACAGGGUAGAAGAGAGAUGAAGAUAAGGACAACAAGGAAGAGAGACAGACAAUGAGAGAAAUGUAGACAGAAGGAAAGCCAGAGGAUAAAGAAGAGUGUGUGUGUGUGUGUAGGACUAAGAGGAGAAGGAUUAGGGAAAGAAGGAAACAGGAAGAUAGAAAGGCAGAAACAAAGAAAGAGUAGGUAAUAAGAGAGGUGGAGCAAGAGAGAAACGUGUGUGUGUGUAACUACAAGAAUUUCUAUGUAACCGAAUGGUGGAGAGCAGUUUGCCAUAAGAAACAAUAGUUUGAAAUUAAUUCUUUGCAGACAAAAACAUGGUACAUCACAACUAUAAUGUAACUGUUAAAUGUUUACAUAUUUACUUAGAAUAGUUGAGUUAAUGCUCACUUAUUUAGGGCAUUGAAAAGUUAACUGGAAAUGAUCAGAUUCAUUUAUAGAGUGUGUGUUUAAAGGCUGGGCAGACUAAUUGGUGCAUAUAUAUACAUUCACACAAAUAUGCAUAUACCUAUAUCAUGCAUAUAUGCAUAUAUACGCACUCAAGUAUAUCUAUUUAUCUCUCUAUAUACACAUAUAUGCACAGAUAUAUGCAUUUAUAUACAUACACACAUGCAUAUAUAUGUGCAUAUUGAUAAGCAAACGUGUGUGCACACUCAGACACAUGCACACAUAUAUGCAUAAUAUAGAUAUAUAACACGCAUGUAUACACAUAUGUAUAUGUACACACACACACACAAGUUUGAAAAGUGCUUAUGUAUGUGUGUAUGUGUCCGCGUCUGAUAUUAAAAAACACACAGAGAAUACUUUAUUAGCUGAAUCACUGAAGGACCAAGUGUUUCGUUCCAUGCACUUAUCAAACUUUUGAAUGUGCUUCGGAUAGAAAAUGGAUCCCUGGGCAACUCAUCACUCGCGCGCGCGCACACACAUACUCGCACGCAUGCACACACACUCAUCACGCAUGCACACAUAUUACAUAUACGUAUAUGUGUGUCUAAAUAUGUAUGUAUGCAUACACACACACGUUUAGGUUUGGUGAUGCAAACAGGAAAAUAGAACUCAAAACAUGAUCUUAUAUAGAUAUACGAUCUUUGCUUUAAUAACUUCUGCCGAUU
rnacentral:lncRNA from 1 species